rnacentral:rRNA from 1 species
GAUGAACGCUGGCGGCGUGCCUAAUACAUGCAAGUCGAGCGAACAGAUGAGGAGCUUGCUCCUCUGACGUUAGCGGCGGACGGGUGAGUAACACGUGGAUAACCUACCUAUAAGACUGGGAUAACUUCGGGAAACCGGAGCUAAUACCGGAUAAUAUAUUGAACCGCAUGGUUCAAUAGUGAAAGACGGUUUUGCUGUCACUUAUAGAUGGAUCCGCGCCGCAUUAGCUAGUUGGUAAGGUAACGGCUUACCAAGGCAACGAUGCGUAGCCGACCUGAGAGGCGGAUCGGCCACACUGGAACUGAGACACGGUCCAGACUCCUACGGGAGGCAGCAGUAGGGAACCUGCCGCAAUGGGCGAAAGCCUGACGGAGCAACGCGGCGUGAGUGAUGAAGGUCUUCGGAUCGUAAAACUCUGUUAUUAGGGAAGAACAAAUGUGUAAGUAACUAUGCACGUCUUGACGGUACCUAAUCAGAAAGCCACGGCUAACUACGUG